rnacentral:rRNA from 1 species
GAUGAACGCUGGCUACAGGCUUAACACAUGCAAGUCGAGGGGAAACGACGGGGAAGCUUGCUUCCCCGGGCGUCGACCGGCGCACGGGUGAGUAACGCGUAUCCAACCUGCCUCUGACUGAGGGAUAACCCGUCGAAAGUCGGCCUAAUACCUCAUGGCAUCGUCUGCGGGCAUCCAACGACGAUUAAAGAUUUCAUCGGUCAGAGAUGGGGAUGCGUCUGAUUAGCUAGUUGGCGGGGUAACGGCCCACCAAGGCGACGAUCAGUAGGGGUUCUGAGAGGAAGGUCCCCCACAUUGGAACUGAGACACGGUCCAAACUCCUACGGGAGGCAGCAGUGAGGAAUAUUGGUCAAUGGGCGGGAGCCUGAACCAGCCAAGUAGCGUGCAGGAUGACGGCCCUAUGGGUUGUAAACUGCUUUUAUGCGGGGAUAAAGUGAGGGACGUGUCCUUCAUUGCAGGUA